rnacentral:misc_RNA from 1 species
GAUGUCAAUGACGACUUCUCUUUGCAGCUUAGGAGAGAAUUGGAGAGCAAUGCCGAGAAGAAAUGAGACGACUUUUUUUGGUCUUGUACGUGUUCAUCUUCUAAGAUCUAUGUUUAACUAGGUCUUUUGUCCCCAAUGUGGUUUUACACUGUUUGUCUUCUAUCCUUGUACAUGGUGCUAUUAUGAAUAUGCUUGGAAGCCUAAAACAUUGUUGCCUUUUCAAAUCAGAUGAUUGGAAAAUUGUG